UCGACGGUAACAGGAAGAAGCUUGCUUCUUUGCUGACGAGUGGCGGACGGGUGAGUAAUGUCUGGGAAACUGCCUGAUGGAGGGGGAUAACUACUGGAAACGGUAGCUAAUACCGCAUAACGUCGCAAGACCAAAGAGGGGGACCUUCGGGCCUCUUGCCAUCGGAUGUGCCCAGAUGGGAUUAGCUAGUAGGUGGGGUAACGGCUCACCUAGGCGACGAUCCCUAGCUGGUCUGAGAGGAUGACCAGCCACACUGGAACUGAGACACGGUCCAGACUCCUACGGGAGGCAGCAGUGGGGAAUAUUGCACAAUGGGCGCAAGCCUGAUGCAGCCAUGCCGCGUGUAUGAAGAAGGCCUUCGGGUUGUAAAGUACUUUCAGCGGGGAGGAAGGGAGUAAAGUUUAUACCUUUGCUCAUUGAUGUUACCCGCAGAAGAAGCACCGGCUAACUCC
rnacentral:rRNA from 1 species